rnacentral:rRNA from 1 species
CAGCAGCCACGGGAAUACGGAGGGUGCAAGCGUUAUCCGGAUUUAUUGGGUUUAAAGGGUCCGUAGGCGGACUUAUAAGUCAGUGGUGAAAGCCUGUCGCUUAACGAUAGAACUGCCAUUGAUACUGUAAGUCUUGAGUAUAUUUGAGGUAGCUGGAAUAAGUAGUGUAGCGGUGAAAUGCAUAGAUAUUACUUAGAACACCAAUUGCGAAGGCAGGUUACCAAGAUAUAACUGACGCUGAGGGACGAAAGCGUGGGUAGCGAACAGGAUUAGAUACCCCCGUAGUCCCUGUCUCUUAUAA